UGCUCAGUAACACGUGGACAAUCUGCCCUGAAGAGGAGGAUAAUCCCGGGAAACUGGGGGUAAUACUCCAUAGUUCGUGCUGACUGGAAUGUUAUGCGAACGAAAGAUCCGUCGCUUCAGGAUGAGUCUGCGGCCGAUUAGGUAGUUGUUGGGGUAACGGCCCAACAAGCCUGUCAUCGGUACGGGUUGUGGGAGCAAGAGCCCGGAGAUGGAUUCUGAGACACGAAUCCAGGCCCUACGGGGCGCAGCAGGCGCGAAAACUUUACCAUGCGGGCAACCGUGAUAAGGAAACCCCGAGUGCCAGCACAGGCUGGCUGUCCACCAGUGUAAAUAACUGGUGAAGAAAGGGCCGGGCAAGACCGGUGCCAGCCGCCGCGGUAAUACCGGCGGCUCGAGUGGU
rnacentral:rRNA from 1 species